GGCGAACGGGUGAGUAACACGUGGGUAAUCUGCCCAGGACACAGGAAUAACCGGCGGAAACGCCGGCUAAUGCCUGAUGACGUGCCGCCUCUUCGGAGGCGUCACCAAAGGUAGCUUCGGCCUCCGGUCCUGGAUGAGCCCGCGGCCCAUUAGCUUGUUGGUGGGGUAACGGCCUACCAAGGCGACGAUGGGUAGCUGGUCUGAGAGGACGAUCAGCCACACUGGGACUGAGACACGGCCCAGACUCCUACGGGAGGCAGCAGUGGGGAAUCUUGCGCAAUGGGCGAAAGCCUGACGCAGCAACGCCGCGUGCGGGAAGACGGCCUUCGGGUUGUAAACCGCUUUCAGCGGGGACGAAGCCGGACGGGUUAAUAGCCCGCUCCGGUGACGGUACCUGCAGAAGAAGUCCCGGCUAACUACGUGCCAGCCGCCGCGG
rnacentral:rRNA from 1 species